GCCGGAGUGGCGGAACUGGCAGACGCAACGGAUUCAAAAUCCGUCGAUGGCAACAUCGUGGGGGUUCGAGUCCCCCCUCCGGCACCA
rnacentral:tRNA from 1 species